rnacentral:rRNA from 1 species
CGAUACGAGUUUGAUCAUGGCUCAGGAUGAACGCUAGCGGCAGGCUUAAUACAUGCAAGUCAAGGGGGUAGCAAUACAACCGGCGCACGGGUGAGUAACGCGUACACAACAUACCAUAUACUGGGGUAUAGCUUCGGGAAACUGGAGAUAAUCCCCCAUAACAUUGCGAGAGGGCAUCUGAUUGCAAUUAAAGUUUCGACGGUAUACGAUUGGUGUGCGUUUGAUUAGCUUGUUGGUAGGGUAACGGCCUACCAAGGCGACGAUCAAUAGCUGGCGUGAGAGCGCGACCAGCCACACUGGAACUGAGACACGGUCCAGACUCCUACGGGAGGCAGCAGUAGGGAAUAUUGGACAAUGGGCGAAAGCCUGAUCCAGCCAUGCCGCGUGAUAGAUGAAGGCCCUCUGGGUUGUAAAUAUCUUUUAUCUGGGAAGAAACUCCUCUAUUCUUAGAGGCCUGACGGUACCAGAGGAAUAAGCACCGGCUAACUCCGUG